UACGUAGGGGGCUAGCGUUGUCCGGAUUUAUUGGGCGUAAAGAGCGUGUAGGCGGCCAGACAGGUCAGCUGUGAAAACUCGAGGCUCAACCUCGAGACGUCGGUUGAAACCGUCUGGCUAGAGUCCGGAAGAGGAGAGUGGAAUUCCCGGUGUAGCGGUGAAAUGCGCAGAUAUCGGGAAGAACACCCGUGGCGAAGGCGGCUCUCUGGGACGGUACUGACGCUGAGACGCGAAAGCGUGGGGAGCGAACAGG
rnacentral:rRNA from 1 species